UGAAGAGGGAAACAACCCAGACCGCCAGCUAAGGUCCCAAAGUCAUGGUUAAGUGGGAAACGAUGUGGGAAGGCACAGACAGCCAGGAUGUUGGCUUAGAAGCAGCCAUCAUUUAAAGAAAGCGUAAUAGCUCACUGGUCGAGUCGGCCUGCGCGGAAGAUGUAACGGGGCUAAACCAUGCACCGAAGCUGCGGCAGCGACACUAUGUGUUGUUGGGUAGGGGAGCGUUCUGUAAGCCGUUGAAGGUGUCCUGUGAGGGAUGCUGGAGGUAUCAGAAGUGCGAAUGCUGACAUAAGUAACGAUAAUGCGGGUGAAAAACCCGCACGCCGGAAGACCAAGGGUUCCUGUCCAACGUUAAUCGGGGCAGGGUGAGUCGACCCCUAAGGCGAGGCCGAAAGGCGUAGUCGAUGGGAAACAGGUUAAUAUUCCUGUACUUGGUGUUACUGCGAAGGGGGGACGGAGAAGGCUAUGUUGGCCGGGCGACGGUUGUCCCGGUUUAAGCGUGUAGGUGUGUGUUCCAGGUAAAUCCGGUUCACUUUAACACUGAGGCGUGAUGACGAGGCACUACGGUGCUGAAGUGACAAAUGCCCUGCUUCCAGGAAAAGCCUCUAAGCAUCAGGUAACACGAAAUCGUACCCCAAACCGACACAGGUGGUCAGGUAGAGAAUACCAAGGCGCUUGAGAGAACUCGGGUGAAGGAACUAGGCAAAAUGGUGCCGUAACUUCGGGAGAAGGCACGCUGAUAUGUAGGUGAAGCGGUUUACCCGUGGAGCUGAAAUCAGUCGAAGAUACCAGCUGGCUGCAACUGUUUAUUAAAAACACAGCACUGUGCAAACACGAAAGUGGACGUAUACGGUGUGACGCCUGCCCGGUGCCGGAAGGUUAAUUGAUGGGGUUAUCCGUAAGGAGAAGCUCUUGAUCGAAGCCCCGGUAAACGGCGGCCGUAACUAUAACGGUCCUAAGGUAGCGAAAUUCCUUGUCGGGUAAGUUCCGACCUGCACGAAUGGCGUAAUGAUGGCCAGGCUGUCUCCACCCGAGACUCAGUGAAAUUGAACUCGCUGUGAAGAUGCAGUGUACCCGCGGCAAGACGGAAAGACCCCGUGAACCUUUACUAUAGCUUGACACUGAACACUGGUCCUUGAUGUGUAGGAUAGGUGGGAGGCUUUGAAGUGUGGACGCCAGUCUGCAUGGAGCCAUCCUUGAAAUACCACCCUUUAAUGGCUGGUGUUCUAACGUGGGCCCCUAAUCGGGGUUGCGGACAGUGUCUGGUGGGUAGUUUGACUGGGGCGGUCUCCUCCCAAAGAGUAACGGAGGAGCACGAAGGUUAGCUAAUCCUGGUCGGACAUCAGGAGGUUAGUGCAAAGGCAUAAGCUAGCUUGACUGCGAGAGUGACGGCUCGAGCAGGUGCGAAAGCAGGUC
rnacentral:rRNA from 1 species